AGCUACGCUAAUUGCUGUGGUGUACUACGUAAAUACGUAAUAGCUACGCAAAUUGCUGUGGUGUACUACGUAAAUACGUAAUAGCUACGCAAAUUGCUGUGGUGUACUACGUAAAUACGUAAUAGCUACGCAAAUUGCUGUGGUGUACUACGUAAAUACGUAAUAGCUACGCAAAUUGCUGUGGUAUACUACGUAAAUACGUAAUAGCUACGCAAAUUGCUGUGGUAUCGUAUACAGGACACUCACUAAUUACUUUACUAAAAUAAUAAAUUUUCUAACUCGGAUUACUUCACUGUGGACACUU